rnacentral:rRNA from 1 species
CCUACGGGUGGCAGCAGUGAGGAAUAUUGGUCAAUGGACGAGAGUCUGAACCAGCCAAGUAGCGUGAAGGAUGACUGCCCUAUGGGUUGUAAACUUCUUUUAUAUGGGAAUAAAACGUUCCACGUGUGGGAUUUUGUAUGUACCAUAUGAAUAAGGAUCGGCUAACUCCGUGCCAGCAGCCGCGGUAAUACGGAGGAUCCGAGCGUUAUCCGGAUUUAUUGGGUUUAAAGGGAGCGUAGGUGGAUUGUUAAGUCAGUUGUGAAAGUUUGCGGCUCAACCGUAAAAUUGCAGUUGAAAAUGGCAGUCUUGAGUACAGUAGAGGUGAGCGGAAUUCGUGGUGUAGCGGUGAAAUGCUUAGAUAUCACGAAGAACUCCGAUUGCGAAGGCAGUUCACUGGACUGCAACUGACACUGAGGCUCGAAAGUGUGGGUAUCAAACAGGAUUAGAUACCCUAGUAGUC